UUCCAAUAAAACUUUAUUUACAAAAACAGGCAGUGGGCUGGGUUUGACCCACAGGCCAUAUUUUGCCAACCCUAGGUGUAGAUGAUCUUCAGCAUCUUUUUAAAUAACAAUAAUUCCUUUAGGUGAGAAGUGGAUUUUUUGAUACUACACAUACAAUUCAUUUAAAUGUAAGACCCCCAAUAUAAUAACUCCAACCAUUUUUUUGUUGCUUUGGAUAACAUGUUUUCUUCUCUCCUUCAGUGAUAAAUCAAACCUCAACAGAAUUUAUUUAGAGGCUAGAAUAACAGGUCAGGUGAUGCUCUCACUGAGGAAUUUGACAAUAUACAUGACUAAUCCUAGACCUCAAAGUGUUCACAAUGUAAUGAAAGAGACAUACACAUAAAGGCAUAAUUAUAAAGCAUUACAGUAAUUGCUAUAAUCAUGCUAUUAUCCAUUAUCAAGACUUAAGUUCUACUACAUCCAAAUUUGAGAUGCUAGAGCAGACCAAGUUCAAGGACAUUGCAAUAUAAUACAUGUAGGAUAUGCAGAAAAUUGGUGGGCCAUCUGAAAUGCAUUCUUGUGAAAAUUGAGGGUGUGAGUUUUCAGGGAAGUCUUGACUCAGAAUAGGACUGGUCCACAGAGCAAGGCUGUGUCAGAUUACACUUGAGACCUAAAGAGUGGCCAUCUGUGAUAAAAGUCAGACCUUUGUUCAACUACAAAGAAGUAAGGCGUAGUUAUGAUACAGAACAUGUGAAGAGAACUUUUUGUUCUGGAAGGUGCACAUGACAUUCCAUUUGAAUGAGAAACAUCAGAGAGAGGCGUGCUUUCACUCUCACAAGGCACGAUCCCCAGCUGCACAAAGCUUUGUAUUUCUUGUUAUAUUUCCUUUUUCAGGGAGAUGAGGGGCUGGUGGUAGAGAUGCAUGGACCACAGCAAGUUAUUGUGCCAUGAUUUUGUCUUUGACGUACUUAUUUCUGAAAUUCAUUAUGACUUGAAAUAUCCUUUUCAUAAAGACUGCAAUAAAGUCCUUUGACAAUAUGGCUAGAUGGAUCAAAGGGCUUAUCUCUGUUGAAUCUUGAGUAGCCACCCAGAUAUCACUGGAGAAGCAACAAUGCAGAUAAUGAAAGAGAAGCUUAAAGAAGAGAAAUUAAGUACUUGCCCAAGGUCACAUAGUUAGUUAAUGGAAGAACCAAAACUAGAACCUAGAUCUUCUGAUGCCACAUUUCAAGCUCCAUGAACCACUGGCCUGCAGGAGAUCAAGGCUAAGGGCAAGGAGCGGAAGGGAGACACACAAGAUGCUCAAGUCUUUAAAAAUCCCCAUUGGGAGAAUCACGCUACAAAUGGACAAAUCACAUCCUGAAACGGUGGACUCUCUGAAGACCUUACAAAACAGCCUUCAGGCCUGAUCUGUCUCCUUUCCCAGCUUGAACUGUGUUUUCCUAAAGUGGUUUCACUUUCCUCCUUCUCCAAAAGGUGGCAUCAGAAAGGAGGGAGCAGGAAGGCACAGGCCAAACGCUCAUCUCAAUGGCUGCCUCAGCCAUGCUCUGACAAGUGAGCUGAUGGGAAAAUUGCUCCUAAUUAAAUCACUUCAUUAAAAAGAGACCAUUUUCCAAGCGAAUGCACUCCGCAGUUCUCGUGGUGGGUAAUUUGUUGUGUUAAUAAGCUGGAGAGGUUGAAUUCCAAGGUUGCAGCCGCUGACAGCCUGCAGAAAUAGGGACCAUAUUUUGGCAAUGCCCUUGCCCUGUCGAGGGUACCGAGGAAAGCUGACAAAUGGCAGUUCCUUAUAAUAGUUUUGCUCACUGGAGACCUGAGGGGCUGAGAAUGAUGUUUUCUAGUCUGUAGGUUUAGGAUGCCAACAAGAUAAAACAAAUACCCAGAAAAAGGCGCUGUGUCUUUUGUUCGCUGAAAAAUAAACAGGGGAGGACUUCCCUUUUGUAGAUCCCACUGUGAUAGAGGAAGAGGGUGCUUCUUCAGCUGUAUUUGAACCGAAGCAUGGAAAAUUGCCAUCUGCAUUCAACUCUGUGGUUUUAGGGCAGCUGGAUAGGCAGUGCUGCACAGUCUGAGGCUGUGGACGUUGAAGUUAGACCAAGUGUCAGUUCCAAUCCUAAUACUUACCAGCUGUGACACCUUGAACAUGCAUGGUAAUCUCUCUAAGCCUCAUUUUCCUCAUCU
rnacentral:lncRNA from 1 species